AACGAACGCUGGCGGCAGGCUUAACACAUGCAAGUCGAGCGCCCCGCAAGGGGAGCGGCAGACGGGUGAGUAACGCGUGGGAAUCUACCCAUCUCUACGGAAUAACGCAUGGAAACGUGUGCUAAUACCGUAUCCGUCCUUCCGGAGAAAGAUUUAUCGGAGAUGGAUGAGCCCGCGUUGGAUUAGCUAGUUGGUGGGGUAAAGGCCUACCAAGGCGACGAUCCAUACCUGGUCUGAGAGGAUGAUCAGCCACACUGGGACUGAGACACGGCCCAGACUCCUACGGGAGGCAGCAGUGGGGAAUAUUGGACAAUGGGCGCAAGCCUGAUCCAGCCAUGCCGCGUGAGUGAUGAAGGCCCUAGGGUUGUAAAGCUCUUUCACCGGUGAAGAUAAUGACGGUAACCGGAGAAGAAGCCCCGGCUAACUUCGUGCCAGCCGCCGCCGUAAUAC
rnacentral:rRNA from 1 species